rnacentral:tRNA from 1 species
CCUAAUAGUGGCCUAAUGCAUAUGGUAUCUGACUUCGAAUCAGAAGACUGCAAGUUCGAAUCCUACCAGGG